rnacentral:rRNA from 1 species
CCUACGGGAUGCUGCAGUGAGGAAUAUUGGUCAAUGGACGCAAGUCUGAACCAGCCAUGCCGCGUGCAGGAAGACGGCUCUAUGAGUUGUAAACUGCUUUUGUACGAGGGUAAACUCAGAUACGCGUAUCUGUCUGCAAGUAUCGUACGAAUAAGGAUCGGCUAACUCCGUGCCAGCAGCCGCGGUAAUACGGAGGCUUCAAGCGUUAUCCGGAUUUAUUGGGUUUAAAGGGUGCGUAGGCGGUCGGAUAAGUUAGAGGUGAAAUCCCGAGGCUCAACUUCGGAAUUGCCUCUGAUACUGUUCGGCUAGAGAGUAGUUGCGGUAGGCGGAAUGUAUGGUGUAGCGGUGAAAUGCUUAGAGAUCAUACAGAACACCGAUUGCGAAGGCAGCUUACCAAGCUACGUCUGACGUUGAGGCACGAAAGCGUGGGGAGCAAACAGGAUUAGAUACCCCUGUAGUC